rnacentral:rRNA from 1 species
AAAUUGAAGAGUUUGAUCAUGGCUCAGAUUGAACGCUGGCGGCAGGCCUAACACAUGCAAGUCGAACGGUAACAGGAAGCGCUUGCUGCUUCGCUGACGAGUGGCGGACGGGUGAGUAAUGUCUGGGAAACUGCCUGAUGGAGGGGGAUAACUACUGGAAACGGUAGCUAAUACCGCAUAACGUCGCAAGACCAAAGAGGGGGACCUUCGGGCCUCUUGCCAUCGGAUGUGCCCAGAUGGGAUUAGCUUGUUGGUGGGGUAACGGCUCACCAAGGCGACGAUCCCUAGCUGGUCUGAGAGGAUGACCAGCCACACUGGAACUGAGACACGGUCCAGACUCCUACGGGAG